AUAAUAAAGCGCGCCCGUGAUUGGCCGAGGGGAAACGUGACUCGUUUUGUGGAAUCGCUUAUUCACACGACCGAGUGACGGGUCGAUUGGCCAAUCACAGACGACACAGAGGGCUGAGCCACACUAAUGCUGCCUUCAGGGACUCAAGGUGACCGGGAAAUACGGAACUCCUGUUAGCAGGCCAAGUCCUAUCGAAGAGAAGUGUAUUUACGACGUGCGUCAAAGAGGCACCUGAAUGCACCAUCACAGCCACGCCCCCAGUCCCACGUUGCUCUUACCUAAAAUGCCCUACAUGCGUGAGAGAAGCCGCAGUUGUGGACGCCUGUUUACUUUGAAUGUUCCAUGUGAUUUUAAGUGUCAGGUUUGUAGCGGAUACAUCAGUGGAUCUACAUGUAGUUUGAUCCAACAAUAAACAAGAUCCCGCUCAUUUCCGUAGAAUGAACGUUGAUUUCGUUCGGACAAAAAACAAAGGAGGGGGGAAAAAGAAAGGAAACAACAAUAGAUUUUGAUAGGAUUGCUCCAUAGGCCCACACAUGCAGGUGGCGCACUCGGUAACCCGACGGCUGCAUAUUUCAUGACGACAGAUUAGAUCCCUGUUGUCUAUGACUGCACAGACCCGUUAAAAAUACUUUGGUGGUUGUUGUUGCUGUGCAUGUAGGCCACAGGCUGCAGCUCGACGUGUGGAUGGUAAAGAGCGCUGUCGUGGCUGACUGUGUGUCCCACAGCUCCUAAUCUACCUGCCCUGCUCUUACCGGCCACGUUCAAACCUGAGGCAUGGCCACCAAGCAGUCUUUCUGUAUAUGCUUAUUUCCAAUAGAAGCAGAAAUGUCACAGGGUUUGAUUUGCCGGUGCCAAUGAAAAAUGAAGAGGAUUGACCUGCGAUUUUGGCCUUGUGCAGGUCUCGGGUUUCAUGUUACGCGAAUGCCUUGUGAAAAUAGUCGAAGUUCAUGAUACCUGCGUAUUUGGAAGAACAAUUUGAGACACUGUGACUAGUGAUACAACCCGGUUCCUCACAGGUCACAUGGGUAACGUCCAUGUGUCAACAGCUGCAGUGGCAACCAGAGCUGCCAUAUAACUACGGAGGUGAUGGCACAUGCUGUUCAUCUGUGUCAUGGAGAGCGGUGCAUGUGAUUUGCCACUGUUGUCCCAUAAUGCUUCAGCUGCAGACAGGUCUCACUCUGUGCCCCAGUUCCGCAACCAUGGUCUGAUUCUAAAUUAGCGCUGUCCUCAGCUGUCCCCAAAGCUGCACUUGAACCCCUCAGUGCCAGUGCAAACUCUGUGUGCAUGGGGUCGGUUAUAUAGCAUAACUCCUAACAAGCCAAUAUGACAAUUUGGUCGAUAUAGAUGUAACUCUUGUAGACUGAGGUGCAUUAUUAAAGGUUAUAAUGCACCUUCGGUUUUAUUUAAAGUGUUAAUGGUGUUUUAUUUGUACGGAUGUACGCACAUUUGAACAAUCGGUUCUGGAGACUGUUUGUUGUCAAGAGAGAGCAUCUUACAGUUGAAUAUUCAGAGUUGCCCACACACACAUAUGUAUAUAUAUAUAUAGUCUACUUGAAACUGUAACAGGACCCACUGCUAAAAAAAAAAAAGGAAAGCAGUGCAGUGUGUGGUUCAUUCGUGGCCAAAUUUCCUUGAAAAUCCUACUCAGCUCUGUGGGAGUAGGAUUGAGCAACGCUGCCAUGCAAUACUUAUUCCUCGACACGAACUGUGUGGACUUCCUUUGGACAAAUGCCUCACCCAGGACACACACACACACACACACACACACACACAGUGCAUUUUCGUAUGACCAAAGUAUGGGUCCUUACAUGCCACAGAUGUGUAUCUGUGUAUGUUGAUGAUGCCAAAACUGUGGGAAUGUAACAUUACAUCUCACCAUUUAAGUGUCACUUCUCUAAUAAACAGCUGUUAAGAAAAGACAUAAAAACCAUCUGCCCUUGAGGCUAAAUCCUGUCUGCACUGCAGCGAAUUUGUCCCCGAUGUGCACAUCACGGCGCACACGGUGGGCUGUGAGCUGAGACACAUGUGCAGGGAGAAAGGUUCAGGAAAACGGCAGAAAUAAUAAUAAUAACAGAUCAGCAGAAACACCGCAGGGACUCUGCCCCUCUCCCCGGAUCGUCCCGUACUGGAACUCCGCCUCCCCUUUGGUGGCAGAAUCCCUAGAUUUCCAGGAAAAACAAAAACCCCUCUUGUUAGCGCGCGGGGGUUUGGCCGGACUCGACUCGCCUGCAGCCUCCCUCCUGCUCCAGCUCCUCCUCUCAGCAGAGCAGUAAACAUUUCUGUGAAAGAGGAGGUGCCUGUGUCGCUGCUGCCCCACAUCUCCCCUCUCACAGAAGUGCAGGAGUUCAGGAAGGCGCAUCUGGGUCAUGUUAUUGUGUUGACACCGACUGACACAGUGUGCCAAGAAGUGAAAUACUUUUUUUUUUUUUUUUUUUGGGUGUGCGUGUGCUGUAACAGAGGAGGAGGAGGAGGAGGAGGUGGCACAUGCGUAAUCUCAGGACAGAAUGUUCCCUUCGACGUGUUGACGCACCACCGCCGGCCAGGCUCGCCUUUACAUGAUCCCGCGCACGCACCCGCAGGCGGACAGAGCGUGGGACAGACAGGACGUCCUGGUUCGGUCAGUGGCCCCCCUGCUGCACUGUGCGCACAAUGGACACAACAGGACGGAGUGUGAAGCCUCAAUCUACAGUGUUAAUCACUCCGUGGCUGCACUUUCACCCAAAAGGACCGUGUAGAAAUAGAUCAUAUACAGGGAACGUGCUUGCAGUGGCGUGAACCCAAAUAAAAUGAGCCUUACCCAAGGCUUUUAUUUGUA